AAUCUAUUUUUCUUGAAGCCCCACUUUUGCUGUUAUCCUUUUGAAAGUGAUAUAUCCAUGUUUAAGCUUUUUAAUUUUUUCCCGGUGUAGCCAGUAGGGAAGAGGAAUGUUUAUUUUAAUGAUAAUAUUUGUGAAUGAACUUCCCAAAACAAAAAAAAACUAUUAAUUUAUGUAUUAAAUGCCUACCGGGCAUAGGAACCUUAUUUCGGCAUUUGUUUAAGUGGGGCCGCAAUUAGUGUUGCACGCUUUGCUCUCCGGAGAGUUGCGUCAGCCUCAGUUGGAGUCCAGACGCUGACGGGGAAAGACAUGCAAUAUGGGAGUAGUAGUAGGUGGCGGAAAUGCACCAUAAGUUGGUCUGCCAACCGCCAUUAACCCCAUAAGAAGAAGAAGAAGAAAGACAUGCAAAAGUUUCUCCUGCACUUGUGUUCGUAUUGGUAUGUUUAAUAUAGUCUGUUCGAUUUGAAGUUCAUAUAAUGUUGCAUAAAAUAUGUUUAGGAUCGUUUUUAUUCAGUCCGAUUAUAAUAUUGAGAAGAUUCUGAGAUUUAUGUGAGUUUAAAGGAGGGGAAAGCGUGGAGAGAGUUUCUGAUUGAGUGUCCCACAUGUGUUUCAGUCAGCCUCAGUCGGAGUCCAGACGCUGACGGGGAAAGACGUGCAAAAGUUUCUCCUGCACUUGUGUUCGUAUUGUGUGUGUGAAAGGAGAGGAAAGCGUGGAGAGAGUUUCUGAUUGAGUGUCCCACAUGUGUUUCAGGGACCAAUAAAAAGAUGACGCAAAGCUGUCCUGCUGUUUCCGGUUUGAUUGUUUGUUAUGUACAGAUUGGGAUCUGCUACACCGGCACUGUUUGUAACUUUUUUUAAAUACCUUUUUCUGCCAAGGACUGCUCUAUUUUUAGAAAACCUUUUCGUUUUUUCUUUUUUACCUUCUUGAUGUUGUAUUUUUCUCUCUGCCCAAAUAUCAAUCUGCGCAAAUGUUUCCUCCACAGACCAAACUGUAUCGGCAUUAUUUAUUUUUUUAUGUAAAUUACAGCGUUGUCGUUUACUUGUCUGAUGACUAGUGCGCUUCUGUUGAGCCAGCUGUGGUAGCUUGGCAACAGAGCCGCGAUGACAACACACAGAAUUUGUCGGCACAAUUCCGAGAAUGAUUUGUAAUCGUGCCGCACCGUUCCAGGCUCAGUGGAGAAACAACCAUAACCGCACCGAAGUGUUCUAAGAACAGUUCGGCAGGAUAGUGGAAAAGUGGCUAAUGUGUGCAGUUUAGCAAAAUAUUGGUCAAAAGUCAUGUCUUGUUUUUGGUCUGGUUUCAAAUUUGUAUCUUUCAAAUGUGACAGUUUUGCUUGGUAAAAAGUGUUCCUCAAAUUUUGUUAUGAGAACAGUCAAUGUUAAAUUAGCUUCAUCCAAUUGAAAGCUAUUGUAUAUAUCCAGAGCAUCCUCCCCCUUAUGCAAUCUCUCUCGGCUGUUUUCACAAACGGGUUGCGCUCUCUAUGGAUUGGGGUUCACUAAGUGUUUUCAAAUUACCAACAUCCUGGCAUCCGCUAGUCUCCAUUUCUGACACCACGUUGUGUUAUUAACGCCACAGGACUGUUGUCUCUUGUGCAGACACUCACAAGUUGUCUUCAGGCACUGUCAAGCUGUCUGACAUAACACACUGACAUACCUCUGUGGUUCUUAAUACAUCUCUUUUUUUGUGUGAGCUGCCAUGCAAUAGCAACAAACCCUAUCAGAGUUUAAUGAUGUUGUUAAUCCAACAUUGUCUGCUAAAAAUGUUGCUAGGGCAGCAUAAAUAUUCUGCUCAAUCAAUCCUACAGUUACCAUGAACCAGGAGCGUCGCUAGAACCCAUUUACUGUGGCAUGUGUCCCAGUAAAGCUGUUAUUUUGUAACAUGCCAAAUUUGAGUUAGAUUUUACUUGAUUUGUCAGUGUAUUAUCCAUUCAUUCAUGGAACAGUUGAACAUAACUAGUGGCGGGAACUGGAACAAAGGAGCACAUGGUGAAGGUCACUUGAGGAAAACAAACACACGAGGGAGUCAGGUUGUGACAAUGGUGUUUUGGAUAAUGCAACUUUAUAGACUUUGCAGAGAUCUUCCUUAGAACUGAUGCUCAUUAUAUGAUGUCUUACUAAGGCCCUGCAGGUGGAGAAGGAAGAAAGGUGGAGCUGGGUAAACGGGGAAGCAGGGCAGAGUGAAAGUUUGGAGAAGGACAGGCAUGGGAUAACUGUAAGACAGGAAAGCCACACAGAAGAAGCUAAGAGAGAAAUAUACACAAUGGCAGCACAGAACUUUAGACAGGGAGCAAGGCCAAAAAAACCUGUUUACAACACAGAGGGAACUAUUAGUGAUUUGGGGGAGAUUUGUGAGCAUUGUGGGCCAAAACAGGUUAAGCCAAGUAUCCCCAGCAGUACUUUGAGUUAAAAAAA